rnacentral:misc_RNA from 1 species
CUCCUACUGUAGAGAUUACUGUGAAUAUCAAAACAUUCAGCAGCAACACCAUAUCAGAUCCCCCGUUAAACCUUCGUAGACACGAGUUAGACACACUUAAAAUGCUGUUCAAAAGGACCUCCCAGAUAAACAGAAGAUCUAUUGCAUUUACUGAUUCUGAAGCCAGAUUCCCCUCUUGAUCUCAGAAUAUACAAAUUUGCUUUUCAUAUCAAACUUGCACACUGGGCAGAAUGUCCCCCACUUAGUCAGCCAUGAAUCCACACAGCUUGAAUGAAAUUCAUGUUGGCAAGGAAGAACUUUAAGAAUUUCCCCAUCUUUGUA